GGGGCUUCCAGAGAGGCCUCCACCAUGCAGGCCUCCCUGAAGCCUGAAGCUCAGGAAAGAGCAGGCAGGCAGGCAAAGUGUGUCCAGCACCAGAGCUCUCUGCAGACCCUCUGCCCAGCCCAGCCUUAGUAAUGGAGAGAACCUUGUCAUACAGAAGCCAACUGUUAUUCUCGCAGAGGAAGGGGAAACAGUCAAUAUAACCUGCCACUUCAGGCAUGAUGUCCUUGGGCUGUUUCUUCUGAGAACCCUUGUGAAAAGCAUGAAAGUGUUCUAUGUUACAAAUGGUGGCAGAGAUCAGACCUUUGAUCCUAACUAUAUAAAUCGCACUGUCUACUUGAAACAGUGGAACACAACAAUAAUCAUGUUGCAAGAGGUGCAGAAGAAUGACAGUGAUGUGUAUGUUUGUGAGGCAAGCUUUAAAACAGAAGAUAAGCGCGUGUCCAAGAACAGCAGUGCUACCAUCUUGGCAGUGAGAGCUAAAUCAACCUCAAACAUGAACUCAACAGAGUGUUCAUCAUCUUCCUGGAUGCCGUAUGUCAUUUUCAUCCAGUCACUGCUCUUGGUUUUUGCUCUGCUGUAUUUUAUCCUGUCUUGUACAAAUAUCAAGAAAUACUGCCAGAAAGGAAGGGGAAAGGCAGGGCAGAAUAUGAUCUAUGAAGACAUGUCUUACAGCUUGAAGCGCAGCGGGACAUACACAACUAAUCAUUAUCAGGGUUAGGCUUUUGUUCUAGGCCUGAUCCAAGCCCCCUUGGCACUGAGGCAAGCCACCCCCACCCCACCCGCAACUUUUGCAGUAUGACAGCAUACCUCACACCAGUCUCCCCAUUCCCUUGUAAUCUCCCCACUGCAAUCUCCCCAUCCCUACCCUGAUCUCCCAAAUUAGAGCAAAUUAGAGUGGAUUCAUGGUGUCUCAUUGAAAAUCUCAUUUGCUAUUAUAGAAUCUACACUCAGAAUACCUCAGAAACAACAGAACUCUGUAUGCCAUGGGUUAGCAACCCAUGGGGGUGGUUGGCACCCUAUGUUCACUACACCACCACUCACUGUGAACCACUCCAGCAGCCCCCAAGUGCACUUAUGGGGCUGCUGAAAGCUCCAUUAUACCUUAUGAGGAAAAACCUUAAAGAUGCGUAAACUUCAACAAUUCACCAAAAAUCAGCCCUCUGCCCAAAUCCUUUUUAAAAAAUUCAGGUAGCUUCCUUGCCCCUACCCCACACUACCACCAACCCCACACCUCUCUAGGCCACCCCUUUCCCCCCGACGUGAAGUGAUACACCCUCCAUUAUACCUAAUGGGGGGGAAACCUUAAAAACGCGUAAACUUCAGAAAUUCACCAAAAAUCAGCCCUCUGCCCAAUCACUCUGCAAUUGGGGUGGUAGCCGCCACCCAUUGGGCACUACCACCCCACCCACUCUUCUGCCCCAGAUCCCACUUUCUGCCCCCAAUCUGCCCCAAAGACACUAAAACUUCAAAAAUUCACCAAAAAUCAGCCCUCUGCCCAAUCCCCCUUUAAUCUGGGUGGUAGCCUCCACCCAUUGGGCACUACCACACCACCCUACUCUUUUGGCCCCAGGACCCAUUUUUUAAUCCGAAUCGAUUCAGAUUCGGAUUAAUUUGGAUCUGAAUCGAAUCAGGGGUGAUUCGGAUGGGCAAUAUUCAGAUACAAAACAAAACGGGGGUGUUUCGGUUUGGAUCCAAAUCAAAACACCGAAAAUCCGAAUUGCACACCCCUAGUUUACAUAGUAUACCUGGACAUCCAAAAAGCUUUUGAGCAUUCCUCAUCAAAGCGUUCCUCAUCAAAGACUCCUGAGAAAACGUAGCAGUCAUGGGAUAAGGGGACAAGUACAUGUGUGGAUUGCAAACUGGUUGAAAGUUAGGAAACAGAGGGUAGAGAUAAAUGGAGAGUUUUCACAAAGGAGGGAAGUAAGAAGUGGGGUCCCUCAGGGAUCUUUACUGAGACUGGUGCUUUUUAAUUUAUUCAUAAAUGAUCUAGAAGCAGGGUAAGCAGUGAGGUGGCCAGAUUUGCAGAUGAUACCAAACUCUUCUGGGUAGUAAAAUCCAAAACAGAUUGUGAGGAGCUCCAAAAGGAUCUCUCCAAACUGGGGGAGUGGGCGACAAAAUGGCAAAUGCAGUUCAGUGUUGAAAAGUGUAAAGUGAUGCACAUUGGGAUGAUAAACUCCAACUUCAAGUAUAUGCUGAUGGGAUCCGAGCUGUCGGUGGCGGACCAGGAGAGGGAUCUUGGGGUCGUGGUGGACAGCUCGUUGAAAGUGUUGACUCAAUGUGCGGCAGCUGUGAAAAAGGCCAAUUCCAUGUUAGGGAUCAUUAGGAAGGGGAUUGAAAAUAAAACUGCUAAUAUUAUAAUGCCAUUAUACAAAACUAUGGAGCAGCCACACCUGGAGUACUGUGUACAAUUCUGGUCACCACAUCGAAAAAAGACCAUUGUAGAACUGGAAACGGUAUAGAAGAGAGCAACCAAGAUGAUCAAGGGCCUAGAGAAGGGUUUCUUAACCUUGGGCCCCCAGAUGUUCAUGGAUUACAACUCCCAUCAUCCCCAGCCAUGUCCAUUGUGGCUGGGGAUGAUGGGAGUUGUAGUCCAUCAACAUCUGGGGGCCCGGUGUUAAGAAACCCUGGCCUAGAGCACCUUUCUUAUGAGGCAAGGCUACAACACCUGGGGCUAUUUAGUUUAGAAAAAAGGAUGACUGUGGGGAGACAUGAUAGAGGUCUAUAAAAUCAUGCAUGGUGUGGAGGAAGUGGAGAGAGAGAAAUUCUUUUCCCUCUCAUACAACACUAGAACCAGGGGUCAUCCCAUGAAAUUGAUUGCCAGGAAACCUAGGACCACAAACGGAAGUACUUUUUCAUACAACACACAAUCAACUUGUGGAAUUCUCUUCCACAAGAUGUGGUGACAGACAACAAACUGGAUAGCUUUAGAGGGGUUUGGAUAAAUAUUGAGGAGAGGUAUAUCAACGACUACAAGUCGGAGGGCUAUAGGCCACCUCCAGCCUCAAAGGCAAGAGGCUGGGGAGUAAUAGCAGUUGUCAAAGUGCAGUUGCAGGGGAGUAAUAGCAGGAGAGGGCAUGCCCUCAACUCAUGCCUGUAGGCUUCCAGGGGCAUUUGGUGGGCCACUGUGUGAAACAGGAUGCUGGACUAGAUGGGUCUUGGGUCUGAUCCAGCUGGGCUGUUCUUAUGUUCUUGUGUUUUGGGGGCGGUAUACAAAUAUGCUAAAUACAAUAAAAUAAAUAUAAAAAUGCCAGGGACUGACAUUGUAAAUAAAAAUACCAAAGACUGGGCCCGUCUGCACAUGGGCAUUUGCAGGACCUUUUCUGGAGCGGGGGGGGGGGGGGGCGGGGUGCAAGCUCCCACUGGUGGCCCCCUACCCCACUGUAAAUUGGCAUACAAUUUACCAGCAGACACACCCUAACCAUGCCCCCUGCAUCAACUUUAGAUACAUGGAGGCAUGGCCAUUAUUUGGAAUACUGACAGGCAUGGAUUGAGAAGGGGAAGAGCAGCCCCACUUCACAAUCCUGACAAUCCUCACUGACUGAAUCCGGGGUGGGGAGCAACUGCCUUCUUGCCCUUUCUGCAGACACUCAUGCUUCUGCAUAUAAAGCUAGUGCUCUAAUACUGAGCUAUACUGGCUUCCUAUUAUAAUGAGUAAUAGAGCCAAAAUCUAACAUAAUUCAGAUUUGUUCUUGUAAUUCUUUAAAAUCUGUGAUUCAUUUUUGAACUCAUUUUGCAUAGCAACAUGGAUUUUGUCAUUUUGCAAGUGAAAUAUGAUGAUCACAUAUAGUAGAUAUGGGGUUUCCAUCCUUUUUUCAACAGGUGUGCUCCUUCUGUUGCAAACCUUCAGCUCAGGUACCCCAUAGAGAUUGUUUAUUUGUCUGUUUUGUGUGUACACACAUACAUUAAAAAAAUAUAAAUGCUCCAGUUAUGAGACAGGCUAUACCAGCCACUGGUUUACAUCCAGACUAAGUUACUCAUAAGCAGUCUUACUAAAAUUAAUGGGACAGGUUUACGUGUCAAAAUGCUAUAGAAGAUCUAUGUUAGCUGAGAUGGCCACAAAAACCAUGCAAAAGCAGCUGCUGAAGAAAAGAUUUAUUCUGACACAUUUGGAUAACUGGUCUUUUCUAAGGAAUAUUUUCACUUGACUGCCUAAAAGAGAAGUUUCUCCCCCCCAAAAAUCCUAAGCAGACAGAGUGUACUUGUUCAAUACAUUUCAGUGGGAAUAAAGAUGUGCCGUUGAGGCGGGGUUGACUCCUAGCAAUCACAUUCAAUGUGAUAUUCUUGGUAGAAUACAGGAGUGGUUUACCAGUGCCUCCUCCUGCACAGUAUGAGAUGAUGCCUUUCAGCACCUCCCUAUAUCGCUGCUGCCCAAUAUAGGUAACUACAAAUGUAUUUACUAGGCACAGUCUAGGAAGCACACCGGCAGGGAUUUGGACUAACAGCCUCUUGCACUCUAGGCAGGGGUGUAACGAUAGGGGGGGCAGGGGGGGCACGUGCCCCAGGCGCCACUUGGGAGGGGGCGCCAAAAAGUGCCCCCGCCAGUCCCCUGCCUUUGGCAAAAAAAUUUUUUUGUGUGAUUUUUAUUUUUUUGUGUCAUUAUGGAGCUCUCCGGUGGGCGGGAGCUCCCAUUGGCUGCCGGAGAACACAUGCCCACCAUGCUGGUUGUCUCAGUUCCUCCCUCCCUGCUUGCUGCACGCACGAGGAGUAGCUUGGUUUAGUUGAGAGAGCAGCUGCUGCUGUGGACGUUCUCUGGCUCUGCCUACCUGCCGUUUGACCACCACACUGCCCUCUGGCUGCAUUUUAUUCUUCUGUUCUGCAUUAACAAAGUAAGUUUCAUUGCUAAAAUCUCUCUCUCCCCUGUGUGUGUGUUGUGUGUGAGAGAAUGCCCCUACUCCCUUGCAUAACGUCCUCCUUUUAGCUCUUCUGUGCUUUGCAUAGCAGGCUUCACCCCCCCCGACCCCUAAACCGAGGGUAGCUGCCUGCAAGUGGAGCCAGUGGGGCUCUCCUGGCUUGCAUUGUGUGAGUUUCUGGCUUGCAUUGUG